CAUAUCUCCUACUUGUGUUACACAACGGUCUCUAAUAAAUUUGAUUAUACUGUUUGGCAUAAUCUGUACUAUUUACAAUGUUUCUUUGAAUGUAGGUACUGACGUGAUUGUCCUACUUAUAAUUUAGGAGUUUCCACAAAUUCCACGGUUCAUACCGAUGUCUCUUUUUUUCUUUCUUUAACUAAUCUGUAUAUGACUCUUCUUGCCCUUGCCUAGUAAUGUCAUUGGUUUAUACCUCUCCUGUGCCUGAUCAUUAUUGUAUCAAUUCAUCCACGG